ACACGAUAAAGGCACUCCCGGAGCAAUCCGGGUUCGCAAAGCCGACAGUCCCGCCAGGUUUUUCACAGAACAUUAAAGCGGGGGGCUGGGCCGCCGAA
rnacentral:ncRNA from 1 species